CCCUUUGGGUGUGACUGCGUACCUUUUGUAUAAUGGGUCAGCGACUUAUAUUCUGUAGCAAGGUUAACCGAAUAGGGGAGCCGGAGGGAAACCGAGUCUUAAUUGGGCGUUAAGUUGCAGGGUAUAGACCCGAAACCCGGUGAUCUAGCCAUGGGCAGGUUGAAGGUUGGGUAACACUAACUGGAGGACCGAACCGACUAAUGUUGAAAAAUUAGCGGAUGACCUGUGGCUGGGGGUGAAAGGCCAAUCAAACCGGGAGAUAGCUGGUUCUCCCCGAAAGCUAUUUAGGUAGCGCCUCGUGAAUUCAUCUCCGGGGGUAGAGCACUGUUUCGGCUAGGGGGCCAUCCCGGCUUACCAACCCGAUGCAAACUGCGAAUACCGGAGAAUGUUAUCACGGGAGACACACGGCGGGUGCUAACGUCCGUCGUGAAGAGGGAAACAACCCAGACCGCCAGCUAAGGUCCCAAAGUCAUGGUUAAGUGGGAAACGAUGUGGGAAGGCCCAGACAGCCAGGAUGUUGGCUUAGAAGCAGCCAUCAUUUAAAGAAAGCGUAAUAGCUCACUGGUCGAGUCGGCCUGCGCGGAAGAUGUAACGGGGCUAAACCAUGCACCGAAGCUGCGGCAGC
rnacentral:rRNA from 2 species